rnacentral:rRNA from 1 species
CCACGGGUGAGUAACACGUAUCCAACCUGCCGUCUACUCUUGACAGCCUUCUGAAAGGAAAGAUUAAUACAAGAUGGCAUCAUGAGUCCGCAUGUUCACAUGAUUAAAGGUAUUCCGGUAGACGAUGGGGAUGCGUUCCAUUAGAUAGUAGGCGGGGUAACGGCCCACCUAGUCUACGAUGGAUAGGGGUUCUGAGAGGAAGGUCCCCCACAUUGGAACUGAGACACGGUCCAA